UUACGAUACAUGUAAAAAAUACUAGAAAAUUCCAGGCUAAAGAGGUCAACAAACUGCAGGUUAAACGAAAUAGUUUAAUUUUCGAUGUGUGCGUGUUUGAGCGGUCCAAGAUUUAUUUUUAAAUUUUAGUGUGUAAAAAAUUCCAACUAAUAAAAACUGAAACGAGGUAAUCAAGAGGAAAGUCUUUGUAGGGGUGGUGGAAUGGUAUUUUUGUAUGGUUCGUUUUUUAGCCGCAAACCAGUUAACGACUACGGUGCAUAAAUUGGGAAAAACUCAUAAAAUGUAUUACCCAUCGGAGUUUAAACUACAAAAUGUUUAGGUGGUAUCAUUAAAUCCCCAAAAAUCACAUCUUCAUUGAAGACUUUAAAAUGUCACACAAUUAAAACAGGAUGUACCACUUCGUAAGAAUGUGCAAAGUUCACAACAAACUUCGCAGAAGUGGUGAUGUGAGUUUCCGGUAACUCACAUCACUUAAUGAUUGUUGAAGAGGCUGGAAUACAGAGGAGAUGUGUUGUGGAAGUUUGUUUAAAAGAACACCUUAGCAAAUUUUUCAUUUCAAAUAAAAUAGUGUUUCACA